ACUUGCAGGUAUCUUCAGUCUGCAGGGAGCAGAGGUGUCUCCUGUUCAUUCUCUGAGUUUGACUGAGGGACUCUAGCUGUGUUCUGAACAUCUUCCAAUGGUAGGAGGUCUGGAGCUCCUUCUUAGUAAUCUUCCAAGCUCUGACAGGAAUACAGUCCCAUUUCACUCACCAGGAGGAUCGUGUUCAGCAGUAGUGGUUAGUGGGGCCUUCACCAUGUCAACUUCCCUGCCACCUCCCCCUCAGUUACUGGUGUCAACCUCGUCAUUGUGAAGUCAGAUCCUGCUGUCCACUGGGUGGAUGUGCUUACUUGAUACGUAUUUGAAAACCCUCCCCUUGUGAUCUUGGUAUAUACAAGGUCAUUGGAUGGGUGUGAAUACACCCCCGCAAUUGCUGGAACUGCCUCCAUCUGCUUUCAAAUGGACACACUGCAGGGUAAUGCACAAUCCAUCUACAAUAAGUGUUUAUCCAGUUUGUCAAGAAGUGUUUUUCAGGGGCAAAAAAUAUACAAUAGGUCUAAAUUAUGUGUGGGCUAGAUAGAAGAAACAAGAACUCUUGUCUCCAUUUAUCCUAGAAUAAAAUGCCAUAUGAAUACAGCCUGAGUAAGUUACAGCACCAUGCUGAGGUAAGAAAAGCUACUGGAAUAUUAAUGACCAGUGAGAUGCUGGGAGUCGAAAAGGGAACAGAAAAGGAAAGAAACAAGUGAAAGAAGAACAUAUUAGUGUACUGAAAGACCAGAAUAGUGAAUGGAAAUUUCAGAAGAGGAAAUAGGCUACUGUAGAACCAUGCAUGGUUGAUUUGACUUCCUGCCAAAUAAAUACUUUUUAAGCCUUCUUUUACCAGGUGGGAAUUUCCUGGCCUCUUUACCUAGUACAAAAUUUCAAGGCAUGCUUCUUCACCAUUCAUAUUCCCGUAUUCAAAUAAACCUAAUUGGUGGCUUCCUUCUCCCAAGCAAUUCCAGACAAAGCUGUCUGUGGUUUUCCACACCUGUAAACUUCCUCUUAGCCUUUCUGACUUAAACCUUUGUUGUAAUAAACACAUCAAAGACUACUUCUGAGGGAGAUUUAGGGUAUAAAUGUUUAAAAUAGCUGGCCAAUGUAGUACAGCAGAUAAGAGUGUUGGAUGAAUUUAUACAUGCAAUUUAGAGGGCUUUUAAACCACACUCCUGCUGUUCAUGUGCAUGUGUGGAAGUUUAAAAUACAAAUAUCACCUUUCUAAUCAUCUGUUGGCUGUGAAGGAAGAUGAAUUUACACCAUCGUGCAUUUUUAUAAAAAAUAUUUUAUUUGGUGUUAGGUUAUAAACGAAUCACAACACAGAAAAAUAUGUGAGAUUCUAGGCGAUCAGUAUUUCAUCACAGCAAAUAGGAUAAUUUUGGUAACAAUAUGAAAUCACAUUUUCCUCCGAGCCCAUCAAGGUAUAUGUCUUUCCAGGUCUUUCCCAGCAGUUCAUCUCAUUGUGUCUGUCCAUAAACACCAUUGGUUGAUGGUGGUUGCCAAUCAUGGUCUCUCACAGCAAUAUGUUCAAUAAAUCUUGCCAUUUAAAAAAAUGUUUAAGAUUUUUAAAAUAUGCUUUUAACAUGUUCUUAGUGUUUUAUCACUUGUUUGCUGC